rnacentral:rRNA from 1 species
UACGUAGGGGGCGAGCGUUGUCCGGAUUUAUUGGGCGUAAAGAGCUCGUAGGCGGUUCGCUAAGUCGGGUGUGAAAGCCCUGGGCUCAACCCAGGAAGUGCACUCGAUACUGCCGUGCUGGAGUCCCGGAGAGGAUGGUGGAACUCUCGGUGUAGAGGUGAAAUUCGUAGAUAUCGAGAAGAACACCGGUGGCGAAGGCGGCCAUCUGGACGGUGACUGACGCUGAGACGCGAAAGCGUGGGGAGCAAACAGG